UGGGGAAUAUUGCACAAUGGGCGAAAGCCUGAUGCAGCAACGCCGCGUGAGCGAUGAAGGCCUUUGGGUCGUAAAGCUCUGUCCUUGGGGAAGAAACAAAUGACGGUACCCAUGGAGGAAGCCCCGGCUAACUACGUGCCAGCAGCCGCGGUAAUACGUAGGGGGCGAGCGUUAUCCGGAAUUAUUGGGCGUAAAGAGUAUGUAGGUGGCUUUGUAAGCGCGGGGUGAAAGGCAAUAGCUCAACUAUUGUAAGCCUUGCGAACUGCAAAGCUUGAGUGCAGGAGAGGAAAGCGGAAUUCCUAGUGUAGCGGUGAAAUGCGUAGAUAUUAGGAGGAACACCGGUGGCGAAGGCGGCUUUCUGGACUGUAACUGACACUGAGAUACGAAAGCGUGGGGAGCAAACA
rnacentral:rRNA from 1 species